rnacentral:sRNA from 17 species
GCACCUCAUAAAACGGGUGCCGGGUUUCGCAGCCCGGAAAUGUACGAGGCGACACAUGACGCGCCGAGCGUCUUUUUU